rnacentral:rRNA from 1 species
AUUGGGCUAAAGCGUCCGUAGCUGGCCGCACAAGUCCGUCGGGAAAUCCGCCCGCUCAACGGGCGGCCGUCCGGCGGAACCUGUGUGGCUUGGGACCGGGAGGCCUGAGGGGUACGAUCGGGGUAGGAGUGAAAUCCUGUAAUCCCGCUCGGACCGCCGAUGGGGAAACCACCUCAGGAGAACGGAUCCGACAGUGAGGGACGAAAGCCAGGGUCUCGAACC